UACGGGGGGGGCAAGCGUUGUUCGGAAUUACUGGGCGUAAAAGGCUCGUAGGUGGCCAACUAAGUCAGACGUGAAAUCCCUCGGCUUAACCGGGGAACUGCGUCUGAUACUGGAAGGCUUGAAUCCGGGAGAGGGAUGUGGAAUUCCAGGUGUAGCGGUGAAAUGCGUAGAUAUCUGGAGGAACACCGGUGGCGAAGGCGACAUCCUGGACCGGUAUUGACGCUGAGGCGCGAAAGCCAGGGGAGCAAACGGG
rnacentral:rRNA from 1 species